CAUGAUUACCUUUUCAACAAACUGUGAACGUGUUGUUUUACUUUCGAGUAUUUCAAUCACACUGUCAUUCGAUGAACAUUAGAUAGCUGGCUCGUAUUGUAUUUUACAUUACCUUCUCAGCUGAUUGUUUGUAUUGACUAAACAUCUUACAACAAUCACCAUAAAAACAUAGAAA
rnacentral:misc_RNA from 1 species